UGAAUCUCUUGUUCUGUAAAUGAUUAUUCCAUGUAAAAAUUUCCUGAGUUUUAGGGUUUCGAAUUUCUGCAAAAAUUUACUGUUUCAAUAACUUUAAUUUCAAUCUUGUUCAAGUUUUUCUCUAUCUCUAGUAGUUAGGGUUUUGAAUGGCAUCUUUUUUGUGGUGAUUUUCUCUUAGAUGUUGCUUGUGAGUUACUAUUUCUUUUACCUUCUACGUUGUGUUUCGUAUGCUUAUUUUGUAUCCACAGAUUUGUGCAAUCUCUAUUUCCACAUUAAUAUAAUGAAUUUCACAGUAUUUUUUAUACUCAUUUUACAUGAAAACAAAUGUAGUCAUUGCCUUUGAUUUUCCUCUCUGAUAAAGCCAUAGUUAGAACUGAAAGAAACUCUUUUUUAAGGAGUAAAAUACAUUAUUUACCAACAGAAGUAUUCAAUUUUCAAAAAGUGUCUCGUUCUCAUUUAUAUUUUUCCAAUUAACUGAAGUUAGUACUAAUUUACUUGCUUUUAAAGUUGAUACCAAUCUUUAAUUUAAGGGCGAUAGAGGUGGUAGAUGAUAACGUAUUGUAUAGUAGUUAGGAAUUGAUCUCAGAAUAUAUAUAUUUUAAUUUUUUUGAUCUCAGAAUAUAUUUUUUAAUUUGCAGGUAUGAUUCAACUCUAAAGUUAAAAAAUUUAAAUGUUCAUUGUUCCUGACCAAUGAAAUGGUGGAUGAAAAAGAGAUGAGUGUUGUAACAGAGAGUGGAUUGAAUGAACUCAAUAGAUUUUUUAAUUUAAAAAAGUACAUUUGCUGGCUAUUUGAUCUUAAUGUCGUAAUUGGACUGCCAAGAACUCAAGCGGAAAUAACCAAUAUGUUGUAGAAUAUUAUCUCAAGAAGCAGUGAAGAAGCUAAGUUCCUUCCCUAUUAGAUUUUGAAGAACUUUUGGAGAGUGACUGAAAGCGCCCUACUUUAGCAAACAUUAUGGACUAUUAGAGUUCUAGGUGAAAGAAUAAAGAUGAGUUUAGGUCCAAAACUAAAGAUAGUAAACUGUUAGUUGCCUUUUCUCUAGUCCAACAUGUAAAUAUUUGGUGCCUCCAUAUGAAUUGUUAUACACUACACUUGCACUCAUAAUUUGGGGGAUGUUCCAUCUUGAUGAUCAUGUGUUGUAAUGCUAAGGAUGCGUAUGAACAAUGCUUACUGUAAAAUCUGCAUCUUUUCCUCUGUUGCAAUGUGGUCUUUUGAAGACAAAUGCAGCUCUUAAGUGUAUUCUUAAUUCUCUCGAAGAGAGUUAAAAUUUACCCAUCAAUCCACUCACAUAUUGUUUCCUUUUAUAUCUAUUGGCGAUUUAUCUUAUAUAUUAGCUGCCAAGUAUAUUGAUGUGCUCUUUUCUACAAUAUCUUUUGCUUUAUUUAGGAGAUGGAAUUUGGUGGAAUGUGGAAUCUUAAACCGGAGAAAUGUACAGAUUAGUUGUUUAAGAAGUGAGACCUUCAAGUUAAUUUACUUAAAACUCAUUGACUUUCUAAGCAUGGUUCUUGUGGUGAAUUUAUUUUUAUUAAUUUUAUAUAGAUUUCAGAUAAAAUAUGUCAUGAUAUGUGGAGCACAACCAUAGUGUUAAAACCUUCUACAUAGACAUAAUGCUCUGAUUUGACCAGCUCUUAUUUUCAAUAGCAUUUGAAGGUCAACCGAUUGGAGAAAAAUAUAUAGAGUGCGUGAAACAAAUAUUAGAACUAAACUUGGGGUAAGGCAGCAUUACGGUGAAAGGAGCACUUUUUAUCAUUCUUGUCGAUUGUUUAACUCAUUUGCAACAAUCCAAAGUUGCAAGAGGAAAAAUAUUGGUUAAAAAGAUAGCCUUACAUACAUUUCUGGAGCUAACUCCCCUUCCACCACACACACAAAAAAAGGUUUCUCAUUAUAUUUUCACUCAUAUUUUGAAAUAUUUAAAGAAAAAAUGAAGUUUCUUUAGCAUACCCUUGCUCCCUUUAUUUUAGAAAGUGUCAAUGUGUUGUUAGUAUGUGAACUUGUUUCAAACUAGUUGUCUAAUUUUUUGUGAUUAAUUCCAUAUCACUGAGGUGACACAUCUUUUUACUAAUAAUUUUUCUUCUUUUGCGAGAUGUUUCCUAUUAAAUUCACUAGAGCUGAUUGGACAACGAAAAUGAAGACAUUCCAGUCUAAGUGACCAGCUUCUCUUAUCUUCUUGAAUGUACAUAAAAUCUACAAGUACAGUAGCUAUAUUUGCUUUGGGGUUGGAGUGGAGCAAAAUGGAUAAAGGGUAGAAGAAAUCAGUGGAGUUCUUUGUAUUGGUUGAUUGCUGCUAGAACUUAGAUAUUUUAGGAAUCUUUUAUAUUUGAAUUUUUGCAAACUCAUGUAUGCUAACUCUUGAAUUGGCAGACAAUAUUGUAAUCUUGUUUUUAUAAAUACAAAAACAGCUUGAUAUUUUGGCUCA